GUCCACGCCCUAAACGUUGUGUACUAGGUGUCGGGGGUUUCAACGCCCUCGGUGCCGCCGCUAACGCAUUAAGUACACCGCCUGGGGAGUAUGCCCGCAAGGGUGAAACUCAAAGGAAUUGACGGGGGCCCGCACAAGCGGUGGAGCAUGUGGUUUAAUUCGACGAUACGCGAAGAACCUUACCCGGGCUUGACAUCUAGUGGACGGGCAUAGAGAUAUGCCUUCCUUUAUGGCCGCUAGACA
rnacentral:rRNA from 1 species